GCUCUUAUCGUCUAACGGUCAGGACAGUGCUUUUUCAGAGCAUUAACGUGAGUUCAAAUCUCACUAAGAGUA
rnacentral:tRNA from 2 species